rnacentral:tRNA from 1 species
GGGCGCUCAGCUCAGAGGGAGAGCGCUUGCUUGACAUGCAAGAGGUCGCUGGUUCGAUCCUAGGAGCGCCCACCA